rnacentral:rRNA from 1 species
UGCAGUCGAGCGGUAACACAGGGAGCUUGCUCCCGGGUGACGAGCGGCGGACGGGUGAGUAAUGUCUGGGAAACUGCCUGAUGGAGGGGGAUAACUACUGGAAACGGUAGCUAAUACCGCAUAACGUCUUCGGACCAAAGUGGGGGACCUUCGGGCCUCAUGCCAUCAGAUGUGCCCAGAUGGGAUUAGCUAGUAGGUGGGGUAACGGCUCACCUAGGCGACGAUCCCUAGCUGGUCUGAGAGGAUGACCAGCCACACUGGAACUGAGACACGGUCCAGACUCCUACGGGAGGCAGCAGUGGGGAAUAUUGCACAAUGGGCGCAAGCCUGAUGCAGCCAUGCCGCGUGUAUGAAGAAGGCCUUCGGGUUGUAAAGUACUUUCAGCGAGGAGGAAGGCAUUAAGGUUAAUAACCUUAGUGAUUGACGUUACUCGCAGAAGAAGCACCGGCUAACUCCGUGCCAGCAGCCGCGGUAAUACGGAGGGUGCAAGCGUUAAUCGGAAUUACUGGGCGUAAAGCGCACGCAGGCGGUCUGUCAAGUCGGAUGUGAAAUCCCCGGGCUCAACCUGGGAACUGCAUUCGAAACUGGCAGGCUAGAGUCUUGUAGAGGGGGGUAGAAUUCCAGGUGUAGCGGUGAAAUGCGUAGAGAUCUGGAGGAAUACCGGUGGCGAAGGCGGCCCCCUGGACAAANGACUGACGCUCAGGUGCGAAAGCGUGGGGAGCAAACAGGAUUUAGAUACCCUGGUAGUCCACGCCNGUAAAACGAUGUCGACUUGGAGGUUGUGCCCUUGAGGCGUGGCUUCCGGAGCUAACGCGUUAAAGUCGACCGCCUGGGGGGUACGGCCGCAAGGUUAAAACUCAAAAUGAAUUGACGGGGGCCCGCACAAGCGGUGGAGCAUGUGGUUUAAUUCGAUGCAACGCGAAGAACCUUACCUACUCUUGACAUCCAGAGAACUUAGCAGAGAUGCUUUGGUGCCUUCGGGAACUCUGAGACAGGUGCUGCAUGGCUGUCGUCAGCUCGUGUUGUGAAAUGUUGGGUUAAGUCCCGCAACGAGCGCAACCCUUAUCCUUUGUUGCCAGCGGUUCGGCCGGGAACUCAAAGGAGACUGCCAGUGAUAAACUGGAGGAAGGUGGGGAUGACGUCAAGUCAUCAUGGCCCUUACGAGUAGGGCUACACACGUGCUACAAUGGCGUAUACAAAGAGAAGCGACCUCGCGAGAGCAAGCGGACCUCAUAAAGUACGUCGUAGUCCGGAUUGGAGUCUGCAACUCGACUCCAUGAACUCGGAAUCGCUAGUAAUCGUAGAUCAGAAUGCUACGGUGAAUACGUUCCCGGGCCUUGUACACACCGCCCGUCACACCAUGGGAGUGGGUUGCAAAAGAAGUAGGUA